GAGCUCAUUGAUCAUCAUAACAGAGUCUAUUGAAAGUCCUCAGCAGGCGGUGUGACGAUGUGACCAGCUCUGGCCAAGGAGCUGUAGGCAGAAGUGUCUUGCAGCAGCUCCUGUAAAUCUUAAAAGACAGCUGGUGCGUGUCUUUUUUCCUUUUUUUUUCCCUUCCCCCUUCCUGCUGCGCUGAAUAUGGAUAUGGUGAGUGAAUCUAGAGCAGCCAUUUGGAGGUAUGAAGAGAUCUUGGAAAUAGAGGCCAUGUGUGUUGAAACAAGACCGAACAACUCCAAGUUCCUGAAGACUUCAUUUCACCAACCCAGAACCUCCUUGAUCAUCACAGUGGUCGAACCAUUUUACAUUUUCACCAGCAAUGAAGGAGGGUUCCUGUUGCUCUACCAUUUGGUACUGUCAGCGUUUUGGAUAUUAGCCGUCCUAAUAGAAAAGAGUGAGUAACUAGUGGCCUUUAGAUGAGCCAACCGCAAGCCUGGACUCAUCUUUGACAUCUCCUGCUUCCCUCCAUAAUGACCGUCGUUGCUCCUCUUGCCCAAGGUGUUUGACUCUUCCUACAGCCUUUGCAUGGAUGAUUGUCUGUCCUCUGUUGGGCCCCUUCUGAAGAGUUGGAGUUGGUUGCAAACUAUAGAAACCAUUUGGGCUGGUUUGAGCAUAAAAGGAAAUUACUGGGAGUUAUUAGGUGCUCGGUGAUUCAUUGGGAGGUCUGGCAAAAAAGAAGCUCAAGGCUAAGCUCAUAGGAACACAGCCCGGCAUCUCACACAGAAGUGGCUUGAUGAGGAUUCUACUGCCUCCACAGCUCCUGCCAUCAUCUUCAUCUGCACCAUAGAUGCUCAGAACCCAGUCUGUGUCUGCAUGUUGCUGACUUCCAAAUGAGAGCUUCAUGAGAGUGUAUUUGGUUGGUAGAACAUAGGUCCCAGACCUUCUCCCUGGGAGCUGGAAGAGAUGCUGGGAAAUUCUGCCCUGGAAAAAUAAAACUCACAAUGUGGGAAACAAAGAAAAUGUACAGCAGGGGUUUAACAGAAUGACAGGUAUCUGCUAAAGAAAAUAUUGAUUUUUUUUAAAAAAAAAAAAGACAAUUUUCCCUUUAGAGCCCCAGAAAGAUUCAGGCCUUAGAGGCACUAAGUACUAUAGAAAAUGAGGCUGAAGCAUGGGGCUGAAACUUGGUUUGGUUGAAGGUCUCUGGAAGGCAGAGCAGUUUAACCUCUAGGUUCCCUCAUCCACCCCCAUACAGCCAGACAAUUAUCCCUCCACCCUUCUGUUCUCCUCCCCUCUUCCCUUAGAAAACUUGAAGUUUAUUCUCUAGAGAAGUUCCAGGCUCAGUGACACCAGGCCAAGGUGCUGGACUGAAAACAAUUAGAUUAAGUUAAAAUCUGCUUGAUAAGUGUACAAGUAAUCUAUUUUCAAAACCUAAGAGAUGUUGUCAGCUAUCUCUAACUAUAUGCCAGCAGUAGGCCUUCUAGGAAACUGUACUAUGAUUCCAGGAAACUCGAUUGUGGGCUGGGGAAGGACAAUAAAGUGGAUUGUAUGAUCA